UGCUUGCUUUGAAUUUUAAAUUGCCUGUAAUGUUAUAUUCAUAUUGGUUUAUUAUUCUAUGUGAAAGGAAUUCUAUGCAAGUAGAAUAUUAAAAAGAGGAAUAAGCACUAUGUAAUCUUUGUGUACUAAACACUUUAAGAUUCAACAGAUCGUUAAUACUGGCAAAACAGAUUUUUUCCUCUGAAUAUUUGCACAGAGAAGAUCUCUUCAACUAUGGGAAUUAAAGAUGAUGAAAAACUGGUUGUCUCUCAGUCAUUCAGAAUUUAAUUAGCUGCCAGGGAGCAAUUAUCAUCAAAAGCAGUUGAUGUCAAAGAUAUCAGCUCAUACAUUAACCGACAGGGCUCCUUAACAGACAGUGAAAGGCAUCAUGUCCUGAAGAAAGACUGGGUUCCACAGUUUGAGUUCACAAAGACACAAUGUGGCCAACUUUGUUCUUUGCUGUCUCCCAAGGAUUCAUGUAUACUGAUAUGUAAAGAAAUAGGAAAUCGCAUAACUAUGAGGCCAAAAAGUGUGCUGUAAUGACUUUAUAUGCUGGAAAAUUCGUCCAUUUUAAUAAUCAUAAUAAUGUGCUAUCGAGUAGCUUUCAUUAACUACAAAAAGAACUGAGCUAGUGGGUCAAAUAAGUGCAAACACCAAAUAAGUUUGUUUUGGCGAUCUACAGAAAAUGGUGUGAGCUUUCUCACUUAGCGGCCUAGCUGUGCUCAAUCGUUUUUCUGUACAUCACAUAAAUGAACUCUUAACCGUUCAAAAGAAGCUGGUAUAGUAAAAGGAUGCAUGGCACAGCCUACUCUAAACUAGCUUAUAGCUUUAUUUUUUUAUUUAGUCCCCUGGCCUUACAAGUUUCCAUUCUGAGUGUAAGACAACAAGAAAGAGUGAAAUGGAUGAUGACAUAAACCAGCAAGGUAACCAACUGUCUCAUAUUGAAACACAGCUAGCAGACCCUGAGAUAGCACCGUCAACCUUGUCAUCAACUUCGUAAAUUUGAAGAAUUUUAGAUUCACUAAUGGUUUUGGACCAGCCACACAGAGGUAGUCGAGUCAGAAAAUGAGUCUGCCCUGUCAAGGGGUAACAAGGCUCCUCCUCACGAGUUACAGGAGCUCAAACACAAACUGGAUCACUGAUUCUGUCAGGUAGUAAAAUUGUGGACAAUGAGUGAAAAUUGGUAACAAACUGCCUAACCACUGUCCGCUUUGUCCAAGUCCUUCUUUUGCUAACCACCACCAGUGUUCCUGUCAGAUGAAGAGAUUGGCUCACAAAGCUUUCUAGAACUAACAAGGCACAAUUGUCAUCUCAUUUGUACAUGUUUAUAAACAGAUGCAGAUACCAGUUGUUUCCCAUUUACAUGUGAAUGACACUGUCCUGCUAUGGAAUUGUUUACCUCUUAGAAGAAGAAUCACCUCCUGAUAUUUAACAAACUUUGCUUUCAUUCAAGUUGUUUGAGGUAUCAGAGGUUAAGGCGUCUCCGUGGCCUAGUGGUUAAGGCCUACGGAGCUGGAGGUCAUGGGUUCAGUCCCUAGUUGCGUCAUACCGUUAAAAGUUGGUAC